AACAAUCUCACAAUCUCUAUUCCUAACUAAGAAAAUCACUUUGAAGAACAACUAAUUGGGCUGCCAAGAUUAACCCAAAAAAGACUAUAACUAUAACAUCCACAACAAAAGUAAUCAUAUUAUUUUUUUUUCGUUCAUCUAAAAUCCACAAAUAGCAUUUAAGCAAAGGAAUAUUGUAAGAAUUCAAGAAAUCGUGAGAGGAAGAGAUUCUUGUAGCAUUUUCAGAGGGCCAAAAUCAAUGGCUAAACCUUUGACCUCUACAUCAAAUUAUCCUUCUUUCACGUUUAUGGUCUCUGUAGGGUUAAUUUCUUCAUUUUUGUUCUUCCACAAUCUAUCACAGCAGAAAAAGGAAAUAAAAAUAACGGCAGUUAAAUGUGUAUCCGAUUAAGCUGAAACCUAUCAAUGAAAUUUUAAGUAACCAAACCAAAGUAUAUGUUGAAUGAGAUUAUGAUUAAAAUAAAAAGAAAAAAAAAAGGAAGGAAGAAAGAAACCCUUAGAUCGUAAAGAGGAUAAGAGAAAGCACCCGAUAAGAGAAACUAGAGCAGUGUAGAGUAAAUUUCUUUUUUUUAUGAGGAAAAAUUGAAACCUUAAGAAAUAAAGGAAGAAGACUUAACAGUUGAUUUCCAAUUUUCUUUGGCGUUCUUGAUCGAGCCAGAUGGGCUGAGUACUUGAAUUUUUCAAUUUUUGCUUAAUUAAAAAGAAAGCAGAAACCCUAGAAGAAACUUAUUUUGCCUUAAGGGUAUUUUGGAUAUCAAAAUUUUGUCUGUCUCCG
rnacentral:lncRNA from 1 species